rnacentral:rRNA from 2 species
GGUAUUGAUUGGUGCUUGCAUCAUGAUUUACAUUUGAGUGAGUGGCGAACUGGUGAGUAACACGUGGGAAACCUGCCCAGAAGCGGGGGAUAACACCUGGAAACAGAUGCUAAUACCGCAUAACAACUUGGACCGCAUGGUCCGAGUUUGAAAGAUGGCUUCGGCUAUCACUUUUGGAUGGUCCCGCGGCGUAUUAGCUAGAUGGUGAGGUAACGGCUCACCAUGGCAAUGAUACGUAGCCGACCUGAGAGGGUAAUCGGCCACAUUGGGACUGAGACACGGCCCAAACUCCUACGGGAGGCAGCAGUAGGGAAUCUUCCACAAUGGACGAAAGUCUGAUGGAGCAACGCCGCGUGAGUGAAGAAGGGUUUCGGCUCGUAAAACUCUGUUGUUAAAGAAGAACAUAUCUGAGAGUAACUGUUCAGGUAUUGACGGUAUUUAACCAGAAAGCCACGGCUAACUACGUGCCAGCAGCCGCGGUAAUACGUAGGUGGCAAGCGUUGUCCGGAUUUAUUGGGCGUAAAGCGAGCGCAGGCGGUUUUUUAAGUCUGAUGUGAAAGCCUUCGGCUCAACCGAAGAAGUGCAUCGGAAACUGGGAAACUUGAGUGCAGAAGAGGACAGUGGAACUCCAUGUGUAGCGGUGAAAUGCGUAGAUAUAUGGAAGAACACCAGUGGCGAAGGCGGCUGUCUGGUCUGUAACUGACGCUGAGGCUCGAAAGUAUGGGUAGCAAACAGGAUUAGAUACCCUGGUAGUCCAUACCGUAAACGAUGAAUGCUAAGUGUUGGAGGGUUUCCGCCCUUCAGUGCUGCAGCUAACGCAUUAAGCAUUCCGCCUGGGGAGUACGGCCGCAAGGCUGAAACUCAAAGGAAUUGACGGGGGCCCGCACAAGCGGUGGAGCAUGUGGUUUAAUUCGAAGCUACGCGAAGAACCUUACCAGGUCUUGACAUACUAUGCAAAUCUAAGAGAUUAGACGUUCCCUUCGGGGACAUGGAUACAGGUGGUGCAUGGUUGUCGUCAGCUCGUGUCGUGAGAUGUUGGGUUAAGUCCCGCAACGAGCGCAACCCUUAUUAUCAGUUGCCAGCAUUAAGUUGGGCACUCUGGUGAGACUGCCGGUGACAAACCGGAGGAAGGUGGGGAUGACGUCAAAUCAUCAUGCCCCUUAUGACCUGGGCUACACACGUGCUACAAUGGAUGGUACAACGAGUUGCGAACUCGCGAGAGUAAGCUAAUCUCUUAAAGCCAUUCUCAGUUCGGAUUGUAGGCUGCAACUCGCCUACAUGAAGUCGGAAUCGCUAGUAAUCGCGGAUCAGCAUGCCGCGGUGAAUACGUUCCCGGGCCUUGUACACACCGCCCGU